CAGCCACAUCAUGUUAGAACACCGAUUGCCGUACGAUCACCGAAGUUAAGUAACGUCCAACCUGGUCAGUACCUGGGUGGGUAACCGCUUCGGAAUACCAGGUGCUGUG